rnacentral:rRNA from 1 species
GACGAGGGAUCCUAGCGUUGUUCGGAAUUAUUGGGCGUAAAGCGGGUGUAGGCGGACUUGUAAGUCAGGUGUGAAAUCCCAGGGCUCAACCCUGGAAGUGCACUUGAUACUGCAAGUCUUGAAUGUGGUAGAGGUUACUGGAAUUCCUGGUGUAGUGGUGAAGUACGUAGAUAUCAGGAGGAACACCGGAGGCGAAGGCGGGUAACUGGGCCAACAUUGACGCUGAGACCCGAAAGCGUGGGGAUCAAACAGG